rnacentral:rRNA from 1 species
CCUACGGGUGGCAGCAGUGGGGAAUAUUGGGCAAUGGGCGCAAGCCUGACCCAGCAACGCCGCGUGAAGGAAGAAGGCUUUCGGGUUGUAAACUUCUUUUAAGAGGGAAGAGCAGAAGACGGUACCUCUUGAAUAAGCCACGGCUAACGACGUGCCAGCAGCCGCGGUAAUACGUAGGUGGCAAGCGUGGUCCGGAUUUACUGGGUGUAAAGGGCGUGCAGCCGGGAAGACAAGUCAGAUGUGAAAUCCCGCGGCUCAACCGCGGAACGGCAUUGGAAACUGUUUUUCUUGAGUACCGGAGAGGUCAUCGGAAUUCCUUGUGUAGCGGUGACAUGCGUCGCUAUCAGGCAGAACCCCAGUGGCGACGGCGGCUGACUGGACGGCAACUGACGCUGCGGCGCGAACGCGUGGGGAGCACACAGGAUUCGAUACCCUAGUAGUC